ACUAAAACCUACUGGAAAUGUUAAAUUCUCAACAGCAUUAUGCACUUCUGCUUUCUUGUGGCCUCACUUUAACUAUCCACCAUUGCCAACAUUGCCACCUUUCCCUAAAGAUCAUCCUUGGAUGAAACAUUUCCCUAAUUUGCCACCAUGGAAACAUUUUAACCACCCUUUCCCACUUCCCCCUAUUCCUCCAAUUUUCAAAAAACCAUGCCCUCCUCCAAUUCCAAAGCCAAAUCCUCCUCCAGUUCCAGUUUAUAAUCCUACACCAGAACCACCAAUAGUAAAGCCACUUCCUCCUCCAGCUCCCAUUUACAAACCCAAGCCUAAACCAGAACCACCAAUAGUAAAACCUAAUCCUCCUCCAGUUCCUGUUUACAAACCAAAACCAAAGCCACCCUCAGUUCCCAUUUACAAACCCAAGCCUAAACCUGAACCACCAGUAGUAAAACCUAAUCCUCCUUCAGUUCCUAUUUACAAACCUAAACCAAAGCCUCCAGUUAAAAAGCCAUGCCCACCAAAACCAAAACCAAAACCUCCAGUUAAAAAGCCAUGCCCCCCCAAACCUAAGCCUAAACCAGAGCCACCAGUGGUAAAGCCACUUCCUCCUCCAGUUCCAGUAUACAAGCCACCGGUAGUAAAGCCACUACCACCUCCAGCUCCGGUGUAUGAGCCACCAGUAGUAAAACCUAUGCCACCACCUGUUCCAAUUUACAAGCCAAUCCCACCAUUCUACAAAAAACCAUGCCCACCACUUCCACCUUUCCCUAAACUUCCUCCAUUCCACCAUCCAUUUUUCCCACCACUUCCUCCUUCUAUUCCUCAUCACCCAUAGACAAACAUUACAUAGAAUUUCGUUUUCGUGAAGCCUUGAAAAUUAUUUGUAAUUUAUGAAAUAAGUUGAUCAAACGCUGGAACAUUCGAGAGAUAUGAUGCUUGAGAAUGUGAAAGGAGAAGAAAAGAGAAUAGGGAAGUUGAUGGAGUGGAGAGUUAGUUUUUACUGUGUUGGUUUGUUUAGUUGAGUGUUCAUGCAAAUGUUUGUACAUCUUCAAGUGAAUUAUGGUCCGGGGAAUAAUUUUGGUGGUAUAUCUAUUGUAUACUAGUGUAUACGUUAAAGAACGGAUCUUUUUAUCAUUCAUUGUUAUGUUACUGGUUAUUGUAAUUCAUGGAAACUUGUACUAGUCAUCUCUUUUUUAAUAUAUUGUUGGGUUUCAAUUACUCUUUCAUGUAAUUUUCUACCAUAUAUAUG
rnacentral:lncRNA from 1 species